rnacentral:rRNA from 1 species
CCUACGGGAGGCUGCAGUGGGGAAUAUUGGACAAUGGGGGGAACCCUGAUCCAGCCAUGCCGCGUGUGUGAAGAAGGCCCUCGGGUUGUAAAGCACUUUCAGUGAGGAAGAACGCCUGGUGGUUAAUACCCAUCAGGAAAGACAUCACUCACAGAAGAAGCACCGGCUAACUCCGUGCCAGCAGCCGCGGUAAUACGGAGGGUGCGAGCGUUAAUCGGAAUUACUGGGCGUAAAGCGCGCGUAGGUGGCUUGAUAAGCCGGUUGUGAAAGCCCCGGGCUCAACCUGGGAACGGCAUCCGGAACUGUCAAGCUAGAGUGCAGGAGAGGAAGGUAGAAUUCCCGGUGUAGCGGUGAAAUGCGUAGAGAGCGGGAGGAAUACCAGUGGCGACGGCGGCCUUCUGGACUGACACUGACACUGAGGUGCGAAAGCGUGGGUAGCAAACAGGAUUAGCUACCCUAGUAGUC